GAAACUACUUCUCUCAAUGUGAAUAAGAAUCGUACGCGUGUUGUCAAUAACUAUUUCAAGCAAUGUGGUCGGUUUGAUUUGGGGUUUAAUGGACCGGCUUAUACUUGGACAAAUAGGCGGUUCUCCUUUAGAACUAUCUUCGAAAGGCUUGAUCGUUGUCUUGCCAAUGCAGAAUGGUGUGUUAUGUUUCCUAAUACUAAUGUUUUCAAUUUCAAUCAUUCAUUCACUGAGUGAUCAUGCGCCUCCACUGAUUCUUAGUUUAGUAGACCUAAACUACACUUUAAAUUUGAAAAUUGGUGGACUUUUGAGGAAGAUUUCUAG
rnacentral:rRNA from 1 species